GGUAUCCUGGCUCGAGGACGAACGCUGGCGGCGUGCCUAAUACAUGCAAGUCGAGCGAGCGGAACCAACAGAUUUACUUCGGUAAUGACGUUGGGAAAGCGAGCGGCGGAUGGGUGAGUAACACGUGGGGAACCUGCCCCUAAGUCUGGGAUACCAUUUGGAAACAGGUGCUAAUACCGGAUAAUAAAGCAGAUCGCAUGAUCAGCUUUUGAAAGGCGGCGUAAGCUGUCGCUAAGGGAUGGCCCCGCGGUGCAUUAGCUAGUUGGUAAGGUAACGGCUUACCAAGGCGACGAUGCAUAGCCGAGUUGAGAGACUGAUCGGCCACAUUGGGACUGAGACACGGCCCAAACUCCUACGGGAGGCAGCAGUAGGGAAUCUUCCACAAUGGACGCAAGUCUGAUGGAGCAACGCCGUGUGAAGGUAGAAGGCCUACGGGUCAUGAACUUCUUUUCCCGGAGAAGAAGCAAUGACGGUAUCCGGGGAAUAAGCAUCGGCUAACUCUGUG
rnacentral:rRNA from 1 species